rnacentral:rRNA from 1 species
UGCUAAAGAGAAAUCUGACGUAUAGGUGCUGACACCUGCCCAGUGCCGGAAGGUUAAGGAAGGAUGUCCGGAGCAAUCCAAAGCAUUCGACCGAAGCCCCGGUGAACGGCGGCCGUAACUAUAACGGUCCUAAGGUAGCGAAAUUCCUUGUCGGGUAAGUUCCGACCCGCACGAAAGGUGUAACGACUUGGGCACUGUCUCAACGAGGGACCCGGUGAAAUUGAAAUACCUGUGAAGAUGCAGGUUACCCGCGACUGGACAGAAAGACCCCAUGGAGCUUUACUGUAACCUGACAUUGGGUUCUGAUACAUCACGUACAGGAUAGGUGGGAGGCAUGGAAGCGAGGACGCUAGUCUUCGUGGAGCCGCCGUUGGGAUACCACCCUUGAUGUAUCGGAAUUCUAACCGUAGGAGUAACGAAACUCGGGACAGUGUCAGGCGGGCAGUUUGACUGGGGCGGUCGCCUCCCAAAGAGUAACGGAGGCGCCCAAAGGUUCCCUCAGCGCGGCCGGAAAUCGCGCGAAGAGUGUAAAGGCAGAAGGGAGCUUGACUGAGAGCCAAACACGGCAAUCAGGUACGAAAGUAGGGCUUAGUGAUCCGGUGGCAUCCAAGUGGAAGGGCCAUCGCUCAACGGAUAAAAGCUACCCUGGGGAUAACAGGCUAAUCUCUCCCAAGAGUCCAUAUCGACGGGGAGGUUUGGCACCUCGAUGUCGGCUCAUCACAUCCUGGGGCUGAAGUCGGUCCCAAGGGUUGGGCUGUUCGCCCAUUAAAGUGGUACGUGAGCUGGGUUCAGAACGUCGUGAGACAGUUCGGUCCCUAUCCAUCGCGGGCGCAAGAGAUUUGAAGGGGGCUGCUCCUAGUACGAGAGGACCGGAGUGGACGAACCAAUGGUGUACCAAUUAUCUCGCCAGAGGUAUAGUUGGGUAGCUACGUUCGGAAAGGAUAAACGCUGAAAGCAUCUAAGCGUGAAACCAGCCUUAAGAUGAGAUCUCUCAUAGAGCAAUCUAGUAAGACACCUUGGAGAAGACGAGGUUGAUAGGUCGGGAGUGUAAGUACAGUAAUGUAUUCAGCGGACCGAUACUAAUAUGUCGAGGGCUUGACUUU